AGCGAACGCUGGCGGCAGGCCUAACACAUGCAAGUCGAACGGACCCUUCGGGGUUAGUGGCGGACGGGUGAGUAACACGUGGGAACGUGCCUUUAGGUUCGGAAUAGCUCCUGGAAACGGGUGGUAAUGCCGAAUGUGCCCUUCGGGGGAAAGAUUUAUCGCCUUUAGAGCGGCCCGCGUCUGAUUAGCUAGUUGGUGAGGUAACGGCUCACCAAGGCGACGAUCAGUAGCUGGUCUGAGAGGAUGACCAGCCACACUGGGACUGAGACACGGCCCAGACUCCUACGGGAGGAAGCAGUGGGGAAUCUUGCGCAAUGGGCGAAAGCCUGACGCAGCCAUGCCGCGUGAAUGAUGAAGGUCUUAGGAUUGUAAAAUUCUUUCACCGGGGACGAUAAUGAUGGUACCCGGAGAAGAAGCCCCGGCUAACUUCGUG
rnacentral:rRNA from 1 species